GAACGCACCUUGCGCUCCUUGGUAUUCCGAGGAGCAUGCCUGUUUGAGUGUCGUGAAAUUCUCAACCUCUCUAGUUUUUAUAAGCUAGUUAGGCUUGGAUAUUGGAGGUUGCUGGCUUCUCAGAAAUCAGCUCUUCUUAAAUACAUUAGCAAAGUCUUUGCUGACCAUCUUUGGUAUGAUAAUUAUCUAUAUCAUCGACAAUCAGCUUCCGUCUCGGAAGGAUUUUGCUUCUAAUGGUCUAUAAUAGACAACUUGACAAUUUGACCUCAAAUCAGGUAGGACUACCCGCUGAACUUAAG
rnacentral:misc_RNA from 1 species